rnacentral:rRNA from 1 species
UCUCGGCAACGGAUAUCUCGGCUCUCGCAUCGAUGAAGAACGUAGCGAAAUGCGAUACCUGGUGUGAAUUGCAUAAUCCUGUGAACCAUCGAGUCUUUGAACGCAAGUUGCGCCCGAGGCCAUCCGGCUAAGGGCACGCCUGCCUGGGCGUCACG